rnacentral:rRNA from 1 species
GAUGAACGCUGGCGGCGUGCUUAACACAUGCAAGUCGAACGGGAAUUACUUUAUUGAAACUUCGGUCGAUUUAAUUUAAUUCUAGUGGCGGACGGGUGAGUAACGCGUGGGUAACCUGCCUUGUACAGGGGGAUAACAGUCAGAAAUGACUGCUAAUACCGCAUAAGCGCACAGGACCGCAUGGUCCGGUGUGAAAAACUCCGGUGGUAUAAGAUGGACCCGCGUUGGAUUAGCUUGUUGGCAGGGUAACGGCCUACCAAGGCGACGAUCCAUAGCCGGCCUGAGAGGGUGAACGGCCACAUUGGGACUGAGACACGGCCCAGACUCCUACGGGAGGCAGCAGUGGGGAAUAUUGCACAAUGGGGGAAACCCUGAUGCAGCGACGCCGCGUGAAGGAAGAAGUAUCUCGGUAUGUAAACUUCUAUCAGCAGGGAAGAAAAUGACGGUACCUGACUAAGAAGCCC